AUUGAACGCUAGCGGGAUGCUUUACACAUGCAAGUCGAACGAGUGGCGGACGGGUGAGUAAUAUAUCGGAACGUGCCCAGUAGCGGGGGAUAACUACUCGAAAGAGUGGCUAAUACCGCAUACUAUUGUAGCGGCCGAUAUCGGAUUAGCUAGUUGGUGGGGUAAAGGCUCACCAAGGCAACGAUCCGUAGCUGGUUUGAGAGGACGACCGGCAACACUGGGACUGAGACACGGCCCAGACUCCUCCGGGAGGCAGAGUUGGGAAAUUUUGGACAUUGGGGGAAGCCCUGAGCCAGCCCUCCCGCGUGUAUGAGAGGCCCUUGGGGUUGGAAAGUACGUUUAGCAGAGAGGCGGUAUCGGCAGAAUAAGCAACGGCUAACUACGUGCCAGCAGCCGCGGUAAUUC
rnacentral:rRNA from 1 species